UCACGUGAGGUGCCUCUGGGGGGCCCCUCCAGGCAGUGGCACCCCCAGACAACUGUCUCCCCUUGCCCGAUCGUUGUUACGCGCCUGUGAGUGAGGUGUUACUGAGAGGCUUUACUGAGAGUUUGGAUUUGCCCCCCCCAAACCAACACAAAAAGUGGAUUUUUUCACUCCAGACAUAAAUCGGGCUAUGCUCUAAUGCUUCAAUGAAAAACCCAAAUUGUGUGUGAAGUGCUCCCCGAUUGCUUUCAGGGACUUCAGGGUAAAUCUGGCCGAUAUGUGAAUGCACACCCUUGAUUCCAGAGGAGAAGCAAGCUGAAAACCCCGUCUGGAAAUGCUCCUCCCUAAAAAAUGCUAUGCUGGGGACAAAACAGAUGCUUUAGCCCCCAGUACAGCACCUGUCUCCUCCAGUUUCCCUUGCGGCGGUGUCAGAUAAUAAUUUGUGGGGGGCAUAACUAAUUAUCAAAAGGGGGGCUGUUGGCCUGGGUCCCAGAUCUUCGGAGAACCCAGCAACACCCCUGGGUACAGCAGCACACUUUCCUAUCUGUACCAUGCAUUUGAAGGACCUGUACCUAGGUUUACUUUUAAAAUGAAUGCAAGUGCAGUCAUUCACAUAAAAACAUGUAGAGACACCUGAACGCAGGUACAACAUAAUGUCUAAACAGGGCUAGAGUAGGUUGUUGAAAGGAGGAGAAGAAAGCAUGGCAUUGAGGAAAAGGAGGGACAUCUGUGUUAUUAACAAGAAGGCAUUGGACUGGCAAGCAAGAUUUAGCCGCUGCUGGAGUGGUGGGGUGGCAGGGAGAUGGGCCAAAAGGUCAAAGCAAUUUGCAGGGAGGAGGAAUUAAAUUUAUUCAGAUGUUCAUCGGUUUUUCCAUUUUUGAACCAGCUUCCUUCCCACUGUGCAUUCCAUGUGGUUUAUAAAAGCAAAUUCUGCUAUAUAAGCUAGAAUGUGGUCCCUAUUAACUUGUCUUUGUAAAGCAGCCUGCUACUGAAGGCAACCUCUUUUAAUCCUUAGUGCCUUACUAUUAUUAUGGCAUAUAGACUAUUGUUUUUUAUUAACACUACACCAAUCCUCUUAGAAUGGAAUCCUAUCUGCUUAUCAGGAUGACUCAAGCACAUUUAUAGCGACAGGUCAUUUGUUUCCAGUUGACACAGGAACAUGGAUUUGGUCCUGGGCAACAGGCCAUGACAAUGGAUUUAUAAAAAUGGGACAUAGAAAAAUGGGGGAGGGUUAGAGAAGAUAGACGAAGAUAGACGUCUGGUUUCUUAUCACAUGUGACAAUCCUUUGCAUGGUGCAUAAAUCAAUGGAGACCUAUCAUCAAUUAUUAGAGUGGUUGUUUGUUUGAUUUGAUUUGAUUUGAUUUCUAUACCGCCCUUCCAAAAAUGACUCAGGGCGGUUUACACAGAGAAAUAAUAAAUAAAUAAAGAUAGCUGCCUGUUCCCAAAGGGCUCACAAUCUAAAAGAAACAUAAGAUAGACACCAGCAACGGUCACUGGAGGUACUGUGCUGGGGGUGGAUAGUUCAAUAGUUCAUACUGAUAGUUCAUACACUAUUGAAUUAUAAUAAUGUAUGUCUAAUAAUAUCUGGUUUUGGUCACAUUUUAUUCUAUGGUAUAUUUUAUUAUUAUAAUACUUAUUAUGUUAUAAGUAUAUUAUUAAAAUCUAAUAAUGUAAACAAUUUGAUCUAUAUAACUGAGAUGCCAUUGACCAAGUUCAGACAUCACAUGGAACCAUAGAUUAUUUCGUAUAACGAUGGUUAAUUUGUAUGUUUGAACCCAUGGCAGUCAACAAACUGUGUCUUAGUUCAAGCAGUCAAACCACAAUCUUAACCUGAAAUUUGAAGUUGAUAUUUUUGUUGUAUCCAUAAUAUUAUGUGAUGCCUAAACCCCGAAUUGUGAUUUAAUCUCCGUUUGUUUCUAUGGCUGACAUCCUGACUAAUGAAGUACAUGCAUUAGGAGGCUCUGCGGGAAUGCAGGAGGAGCCGUUGUGCAUCACACACACACCCGCCCUCCUGUGCACACUGUUGUGCAAGGAAGCGAAUACUUUUGAGCACCACUUGUGCACCAGAAAUGCUCUGCAAGAUCAGAAACACAUCAGUGACUCAGCAGUGUGUUUCCAGGCUUAGAGUGCUUCAGGAGUGUGAGCAGCACUCUCAGGUAUUAGCUCCCUCGCACAACAGCAUGCGCAGGAGGAUUGGGGGGCAGGGUUGUACGAUGGCUCCUGGUGCGUCCCUACAGACCCUCCUAAUGUGUGUGCUUCAUUAGUCAGGAUGUCAGUCAAUAACUCCACCCUCACAGGGCAAACUUAGACCAUGAGAACCUAGACCUAAAGAAGCUGUGGGACUCAAACAAACCAUGUCAUGACAAAACAAAGCAAGACUUGGUUUUUCUUAAAUCUGUGACACCAAUCCAUGUUUGUUAAAUAAACCUUGAUUCAAAGAAAGUGGUGCCGAUUAGAUUCUUUUAUGUAUUUUAUCUGCUGUUUCUGUGACCAACUUUCAUUAAGAGGAUCAUCUGGGUCUGAAAUCUUUGUUUUAAACACUAAAUGGUUAGUGGCACUGCAGGGGAUCUAGUAUCCCAUUACUGUUGCAUCUGUAUAUGCUGUGUUCUCUCUCUCUCUCUCUCUCUCUCUCUCUCUCUCUCUCUCUCUCUCUCUCUCUCUCUCCAUAGUUGUUCAGAUGUGAUAGUGGGAUUACUCGUAUCACUGUGGGAAUGGGUUUGGGAAACCAUUAUCACUUUGAUCUGUUCUAUCUUUCCAGUAAAGAAUACCCCGAUCCUCAAGAAUACCCUUAUACAAAUCUAUAGUGUGGCCACAUUUGGAGUACUAUGUUCAGUUCUGGUCACCAUAUCUUAAGGACACUGUAGAAUUGGAAAAGGUGCAGAAGAUGGCAACCAAAAUGAUUAGGGGCCUGGAGCACCUUCCUUAUGAAGCAAGGCUACACUAGGGAUGUGCACGGAACCAGUGGUGGUUGGUUCAAAGGCAGAGGACAUACGUUUAAGGGUGAGGGUGCCCUUACCCCUCCUGCUGCAUUUCCCUUGCAGGCGCUCUAUUUAGAAAGUCUCUUUCGGUGCAGCAGAGUACCUCCCUGCCCUGCCCCCCGGUAUCCUCCUUGUCCGGAAGUAAAAGGAAGUACACUUGUGCGCAUCUUGUGUCAGGCACGUGAGGGGUAAGAGCACCCUCCCUCGCCCUUAAAGGUAUGCUCCCUGCCUUCGAACCGGUGGAACCACCAGUUGUUCAAACCAAUUCGGAGGCCCAUAAAGGGCCUCUGAACUGAUUCCAUGCACAUCCCUAGCUACAGCAUCUGGGGCUCAUUCUUUGGGAAAAGAGGUGUCUACAUGGAUACAUGAUAGAGGUGUAUAAAAUUAUGCAUGGAGUGCACCAUUUAGCUCAGCAUUGUCCACACAGUCUGUAUUGACUGGCAGCAGCUCUGCAGGGUCUCAGACAGGGUCUGAUGAUCUCUAUAUAUCUAUCUAUUGAAACUAAAAUACAUGCAGACUAUGCAUUUAACAGCUUUUCUGCAAAUGUUUUUUCCCCUUUUUAUUUCUGACAAUUUUGCAAAAAUUAGCUCUUUUUUCUUUGCUAUGAGAUCAUCAGUUGUAUUGAAUUUACCUUUUACUUUAAUAAGAACUUGCUUCACUCAGACGUAUGGUCAGUUUAAUGAAAAAGGAAAGUCAUUUCUGUAUCUUGAUAUGGCAAAGUAUGCCAAUACUUUCCACUCCAAAAGUCUGUUAAGGCACUCAAAGCAAUAGACAAAAUGUGCAGUCUUAUUUUUGUGAGUCUUCUUUCACUGGCUGUCAUCCUGACUAAUGGAGCACCAGACUAAGGAUCCUGACUAAGGCUCAGGGACAUAUUUUUGGGUGGCGCAGGCAGCUGCAGAAGGAAGGAGAGAUCAUUUUUCCUUAAUGUGGAUCUCAACACUGGUACACCAGCACUUCAGUGGUUGACAUCCUGACUAAUGAUCUAGGGAACUUUUGAGAUGUUUGAAGUUGGUCAUCAGAAGUUCACAAGUAGAACUAGGUCAGGGGUGGGCAAAGUUGGCCCUCUAGAUUUUGUUGAACUGCAGCUCCCAUCAUCUCCAGCGGCAAUUUAUUGUGGGAGUUGUAGUUCAACAACAUCUAGAGGGCCACGUUUGCUCACCCCUGACCUAAGGAUUCACUGACCAGACUGGGUGACACACACACACACACACACACACACACACACACACACACACACUUACUUUGAAUUUGGGAUAUUGUUUUGAGACAAUGGUGAUUUAGAUCUAGUUUAAUCUAAGUGUAUACUUGUCUCACAAGAUUUGAGAGGAGCAAUGAGGCUCUCACAAAGAGUCCACUCACAUAUAUUUGAGCUGACAACUGGGACAUUGCUAAAGGUUUAGUUCAAAAACAGAAUUGGUGAGAAGGGUGUUAUAAAUAGCCCUUAAUGUGGGAGAGUUCAGAACCUGAGAUUGACAUUAGAGACCCCGCUAACCCCACUUGGGGAAUACUUCUAAAUGAAGCUUUGCCCUAAGCCAUCUGAUGGUCUCUGUGACGUGUUUGGGGGAAUCUCCUAAUGAUCUUAGAUAUUCUUAUCUUGUGCUGGCUUAGCUCAGGGAACCCAUUUCAGGUUGCACUACUGUGAGAAUGAGACUGGUAGAGUGAGCAGAGAGGCUGCAGGGCAGAAAGCUGGAAAGGAGGAGGAAGAUGCAAGGAGGAAACCGCAUAUUUUGCUAAAAAAAGAAACCACAUCUUAAAAAUCAGUACACCAUACAACAAGUUAUCCAAGAAGAAAGAAAACAUAAAGCUGAAAAAACUAUUUGAUCUGUCUCCUCCAUUUUCCAAAGCAACAUGGGACAACGCUUGACAAAUGAGGAUGGAGAACCAGUUGAGAUUGAUGUGGCCGAAUUGCAGGAAUGGUACAAGAAGUUUGUGGUGGAAUGUCCGAGUGGAACUCUCUUCAAGCAUGAAUUCAGACGCUUCUGUGGUGUACAAGAUGAUGAGGAGGCAGCAAAGUAUGUGGAGAACAUGUUUAGGGCUUUUGAUAAGAACGGGGACAACACCAUUGAUUUCCUUGAGUAUGUAGCUGCUUUGAAUCUUGUUUUACGAGGGAAGCUGGAACACAAACUGAGGUGGACGUUCAAAAUAUAUGACAAGGACGGGAAUGGCUGCAUAGACAGACCUGAACUUCUAGAAAUAGUUGAGUCUAUUUACAGGCUAAAGAAGGUAUGUCAGCCUGAAGAAGAUCCAAGGUUCCCCCGUCUCACUCCAGAUCAAGUUGUGGACAGGAUAUUUGAGUUAGUGGAUGAGAAUGGAGACGGGCAGUUAUCUCUGGAUGAAUUCAUUGAUGGGGCACGGAAAGACAAGUGGGUGAUGAAGAUGCUGCAGAUAGAUGUGAACCCAGGAGGAUGGAUCGUUGAUCAGAAAAGGAAAGGCUCAGAAUCCUAACCAUUGUCCUAACAGUUGCCUAUGUGACUGGAAAGUGUGAAGCAGCAAAAGAUUCAGGGUAUUACAUGGCCAGGCAUAAUCACCAGAUGGGCACAUUCUUUCACCCUAGAACUGUCUGAAUAUCCAUAUGAAUGCUCCAGCAACCCUGAAAAGUCAAGCUUCCCUACUUUAAACAUGUAUACUGAAAGUAGCAUGAAGUGCUAACACCUGGAUUGGACCACUAUGGAGAACACAUGACCAGCCAGACUAGAGAAUAAGCAUCUGCAGUGCAUACCAUCCUUGGUUGACUCAGACUUACGGUUGCAUCCUGAGAGAAUGGCUAACAAGAAUCUUGCAGUAAAAGUAAUGUGGUAUUUGAUGCUUGAAAUAUACAAGGUGACUGACUAGUGAAUCAUGCUGCUUUCUGUGUAGAUCAAUGUGUGUAAUUUCAUGACUAAGGAUAUGUGAACUUCCUCAAACAAAGCGAGUGCUUUUGUAACAGACCUUGAGGAUGUGGCUAGUCGAUUAUGCUACCAAAUCUGCAAGUUCCAAAGGAUUUUGUUUGCUGGGUAGACUGCAAUCACACAACCAACUGCAUCAUGUAGAUCUCAUGGGUUAAUUAUGCAGGAACAUCCAGCCAUUGCACACCUGACCUACAGAUUUAUACAAGUGUGGAAACAGCAGAAAUGUAUCUAUAUAGGCAAGUGUUUUGAAUCAUCACAAUAAAACUCGUUGUGAGGGCUGGAACUAUUGUCUUCUGGUAGAAUUCGGCACCAGCAUGAGAAGAAGAACCAAAUGCUAAGAAAAUUUAUUUGCAAUGUGGACUAAACCAGCGGAAGAAAAAUUAUUUCCAGCGUAACACUGAAUAUAUAUUUGCCAUUUCUUCUUUUUUUAGACAGAUAUCAAAAUCUCCUCUGUUCAAGGUUGGAAUCACCCUUUAAUUCUUUUUUUUCCUGUGGCCUUUUAUUAUAACUCCUUUGCUUUUCUUUAGUAGGUAGGUUUUAUAUACUGUGGUCCCAUUGUUUUCUUAAGUUUAGAGCAAUUGAGUGGGUAUAUGGAUGGGUGAUGUGAAAUGAAAUAUUUUCGGUUGAUCCAGUACAUGUGAAUUAUAAGUCUCUAUACUUUGAUUAGCUGCCUCUAUUUUCAAAGAAAGUGUACUUGUUAUGCAAGUAGAAAACGAUUUUAACACUGAAGGAGGAAGUGAUUUCCAACUCCAUGCGGUUAUACUUGAAAAGCUCAUUUGGAGGGCAUUAAUGACUCCUUCCAAUUCUAAUAAUUUUGCUAUAGAAUGAAAUUAAGUGCUUGUAAGAAUUAUUCAAGAAUACACCAUAAAGAUUCUGAAAAUUGUAAUCUUGACUUAGGGUGCUGAACUGAGAACAAAGCUAUAAUUUUUAGUGUUUGUGAUUUGCCCUAAAUAGCUAGCCUUUAUAUCUGGGCUGUAUCCAGGCUCACAUAUACUGUACUGUGUUUGAUCAAACAGUUAUGACCCAGAUCUCCUAUAGGUUAUUACAGUUGUAUAGUUCCAAGCUUUGAUCAGUCUAAUAAAAAAUUUGGGGGACUGAAUCAGCUGUAAACCUGUUUUUACUACUUUAUGCAUUGUGACUUUCCAAAAACAUGUUAAGUACAGGUGACCCCCACCAAACUCUGUAAGCCACUUUGAGCCCACAAGAAAUAGCAAGAUAUAAAUCAAAUCAAUGAAUAAAACAGCAUAGUUCUUUUUGACUUCAAUACACUUAUGCUGUUUCAUAGCAACCGUGAACAUUUGGGUUUUGAAGUAAGGCUAAAUGAAAUUAAAUAUACUCAGAGGCUAUUCAUAAGCUCAUGCAAAACCAGGCUAAGGGAGCCCAGCCCAGUUUUGCACGCACAUGUGAACCGCAAGGUUCGGACAUGAUCUUGGCAUCACAGCGGCAAACCUGCCUAAGAAGCCUCCUCUCAAAACUGGGAUAGGAGAGCAAGCACCUCCCCUCCUAACGGCUGACACACAAGGAGGGGAGGGGAGAAUCUUCCAAUGCAUGGUGCAUUAUUCGGGCUCCGGUGGGGGAGCAUUGCACCACACCCCAGCACCUGACCCCCAGAGCUACCGGGAGCAGCCGGUGCUCGGAAGCAAACGGAUAAUCUGCAGGGAGGUAAGCUCUUCCGGGCUUCCUCCCCGCAAACCCUGCAGCCUUUUCUUACUGCUUGUGAGAAAAGGCUCUCAGAUUAUCACUAAAGUCAGAUAGACUUUGAAUUAUCCAUGAUUGGCUUUGCCAGUUUUCCCUGACCUUCCCUUCCCUUUGCUGUCUUCUCCAGAUCUGCACUGUGUCAGUACUAUGACCAAAUUUGACUGAGGGGUGGAUGGCAUGGAGGAGAUCAGUGGCUGUUCGUGUAUCAAAGCACACCUGAAAAUCUUUGGUGCAAAUAUGGCCUUAGUCAGGCCCAGUAAAGUCAUGGAGGGCCCAAGGCGCCAGUGCCCCACUGCCUUCUGCUUUGCUUAAUAAUUUGCACCAGCUAGAUUUGCAAUUCUGGUUUCAUACUGGUUUAGUUCUUUUGUCUAAGCGACACUACUCUUGAUUUAUGCUUAGUAAAGGCCUACAUCUAAAGUUUACUGACUGACAUAUUGUGCAAGGGAACAUGGGUGGCUAGAGCACUGAGCACAGGUAAGCACUGGGUGUUGCAUCACACAACUGUGUGUACAACAAAGGAGCACUGCUGCCCUGCAAUGCAACCCCAUCAGCAGAGCUUAGAUGUACAUAGGGGCGUGGGCAGCACUACAGCCACCUACAUUCCCUUGCACAGUAUGUUAGCCAGCAAAAUUAAUGCACAACCUUAGAUUUCUACUAGGUGAUAAUCUGAUAGAAAAUCUUAUUUCACAUUGGCCUCAGUCUAGGACAUUUGCUUGUUUAAGCUCCAAUCAAGUGGCUGAGAAAUGAUUGUACAGUAUAAUAAGAAUGUGUGUUUUUAAAAUGCUGCAGUUUCAACAUCCAAACUCAAAUGGCAAGAUCUGUAUUAUGUGUUACCCUUCCACUUUUUUCUUUUCAAGAUUACAUGUUGCUGACAGAGUACUACUUUACAUGGAAAAAAGCACCUUUAUACUGGAAAAUCCAAUGUGCUAGUCAGUUUAUCUACAAGGCAUGAUAUUUGCUAAUCUUGCCACUCAAGAACAGGUGAAUAUUGCAACAAGUAAACAGAAGAGUUUUGUAAUGUUGGAAUGUAAUAAAGAUAAUUUAUUUA